AUCGUGGAUGCCAUUGACGGUGGGCAUACAUGCUACGGUGGAGCUCAUUGCAUCUUUCAGGUUCAUGCUUAGUGUGAACUUGGAACUCAUGCUUUUGUUUGUGAACCUUGUUGGAUAUGCACGCAUGUUGUUGUGAACCUUGUUGGAUGUGCACGCAUGUUGUUGUGAACCUUGUUGGAUAUGUACCUGUGUGGACUUUGACCUCAUGGUCAAUUUGUUAUGGUUGUCAAGUUGUAAUAUAUUGUUGGACAAUUUAGCUUGCUGGAUAUGUACCUUGUUGCAUCUAUAUAUUGACAAUUUAGCUUGCUGGAUAUGUACCUUGUUGGAUCUAUAUAUUGCUGGACAAUUUAGCUAGCUUGCUGGAUAUGUAC
rnacentral:lncRNA from 1 species